GGAAGUGAUCGGGCUAUCACAUCUGUCACUCUUUGCCUGCCAGUGAUUACUUCUAGGUGAUUUGGCUGGCUAAACAGGUAUUCUUUUCCUGCCUCAUGUUCCAUGUGCAUUGUUGUUGAAGAUGCAUGCUCAGGGAAAGGCCAGAACUUCCUACUAGAGGAUGAUUCUUUGGUUAAGAAAGUAUAAGCAACUGCCCUCCCUUAGCAGUAUGUUCCAACAUACUCUAAAAGUUUAUUUUUCAGGGAAUGCUGUCUCAAAGAGAUGUACAUACACAAUCAAGUUCU
rnacentral:snRNA from 1 species